UUUGAGACUUGAAGAAUCAGUCUCCCAAAGGAGCAUCAGAGCAGAUUUUGAUGCUGGCACCAGCCUUUGACUUCUGCUUGGCUGGCCCCAUCUCUUAGAUCCCUGCUUGACUGACAGCCCAAUUCUGUCGAGCCCUUCUCUAUAACGGUCAUUACAAACAACCCUGAAGUGGCUGGAAUAUAGUCAGCAAGGGGCCCACAUGAACAGCUCAUCUGGAAUCUUUGCAAAACUGUGCCGACUUCUCUGGUGGCUACGGCUGCGGCUACGGCUGCUGGAGCGGGACCUGUGGCGAUGGCGUUUCUCCCGAGAUUUGGAUCGAGUUCUCCUCUUGCGUUCACGUGACAUGGAGCGAGAUCGAUGUCUGCGAUGCUCUCUGGACCUGGAUCUACCAGACAAGAUUUGAUUUUGUUUCUACCUUUGUAAUUACUAUAUUUCUCAUUUAUUAAAGCCUUUUCUUUAAA
rnacentral:lncRNA from 1 species